AAAACUCCUCACUUUAAUUUUCAUUUUAGCGCCACCAACCGUAUCUUCCAAUGAUCCAUCAUAUUUUGGACUUCACAAAGCCGUUUUUAUCGUCGUGGUGUGUUUGGUGUCGCUCGUAGCGCUCAUGUCUAUGGUCGUGUGUGGAAUUUGCAUCAGAAAGAAACACGUCAGUAUCAUCAUGUUAACAACGCACCACGAUGAUCGCCACGAAUUUUGUCCGAAUAACGGAGGCCAAGAUUCCCACUUUGAAAUGAAAAAACAACCCGCACAUAACCAAGUGGUGGAUAUCUGCAGUGUGGGAAGAAAAAGCCCUUGACGAAUUCGUCGUCGUUGAUAUUUGGCUGUAAGGCUCUCUCGUCGACAGAGCAUCCUUUUAGGCCGUAGGAUGAGCAUCCAAAAGAUGCAAUUCCGUUGCACCCCUCGUGGAACUACGUAAUUUUCGCAUGAAUCAAUAGAUAAAAACUUACUUUAUCAGAAUCCGUUGCUCCCCAAGCGAAACAGGUGCACAAUUGGGAAAAAUAUUCCUCCAAAGUUUGAUAUUUUCCCGCUACGAAAUAUUCGAACCGCCAUUGUUUUGGUAGCAAAUACGCAUGCGUGUUUCAG